UACGGGGGGGGCAAGCGUUGUUCGGAAUUACUGGGCGUAAAGGGCGCGUAGGCGGCCUUCUAAGUCGGACGUGAAAUCCCUCGGCUUAACCGAGGAACUGCGUCCGAGACUGAAAGGCUUGAAUCCGGGAGAGGGAUGUGGAAUUCCAGGUGUAGCGGUGAAAUGCGUAGAUAUCUGGAGGAACACCGGUGGCGAAGGCGGCAUCCUGGACCGGCAUUGACGCUGAGGCGCGAAAGCUAGGGGAGCAAACAGG
rnacentral:rRNA from 1 species